GCAUAACGCGAAGAACCUUACCAGGUCUUGACAUCCCGUUGACCACUGUAGAGAUAUAGUUUCCCUCGGGUCGGACGUAGCAGUGGUGCAUGUUGUCGUCAGCUCGUGUCGUGAGAUGUUGGGUUUAAGGUACCCGCCAACGAAGCGCAACCCUUACGUAUCUUAGUUUGUCCACUCAUUUAGUUUGGGCGACUCUAAGGACGACUGCCGGGUCGACAAAACCGGAACGGGAAGGUAGGGGAGUGACGUCAAAAUACAUCAUGCCCCUUACUGACCUGGGCGUACACACGUGCUACAAUGGACGAUACAAACGGUUAGCCAACUCGCGAGAGGGAGCUAAUCCGAUAAAAGUCGUUCUCAGUUCGGAUUGUAGGCUGCAACUCGCCUACAUGAAGCCGGAAUCGCUAGUAAUCGCGGAUCAGCAUGCCGCGGUGAAUACGUUCCC
rnacentral:rRNA from 1 species